GCGGUGGUGCCGUUCCCGUGUCCCCCGGUGUCUCUGCUCCGGUCGCCGCUGUGGCGGGGCUGCCCCGUCCGCGUUGGCGGGCUUCUCGAGGCCAUCGGCCAGAGAAAAGGGGGUCGAGGCGGUGAGAGAGAGGGCGGCGGCGGCGAAGGCCGCCUGCCGCUUCUUGACGGCCGUGUCGCGGGUGCGACUCGGUCCUUGGGGCGUGUCGAGCGAUCGUGGCGGGCCGUGGGCCGUUCUGCCGUGCCACCCGGCGGACUGAGCGGAAAACGUGAGGUCGCCCCGGCCUCUGACCGCGAGUGCUCGACGUGUGCCCCGUGCUUACCUAUACCGCAGACCCCCCUCGCCUGGCCACUCCCGCGGACGGAUCCCGCCUCUGCGGACCGACGGGGGCCGGUGGGCCGGGUUCGGUCCACCCUCAGUGAGCAAAGUUUCUUCUCUAGCGAUCCGAGCGGGGCGUGCUUUGCGAAGAGGUGGGGAGGUGCCCGCCUCCCCCCCGCGUCUGCCCGCCCGCCUACGUUCUCGCUGCGCGAAAGUCAGCCGUCCGACGCGUCUGUCCCGAUCCGAUGCGUGCCCGCGCCUCCCCCCUCCGAGCUGGGGGAGGGUCCCGCGGGGGGUCCCGGCCGGUGUCCGGCUCUCUCGGGGCCUGCCCGCGAGCGUGCGCCGAGGUCUCGCUCCGCUGGCGCGUGGUGUGUCCGGUGGGGGGGUGUGUUGGGGGUCGGUGGUGUGGCGGACGUCCCGGUCGGUCCCGCCCCUCCCCUCACCCUCCCGUCGCCGUCGCCGCCGCCGCUGCUGCCGCCGCCGCCGCCGCGACGGUGGGUGCCCGUCCCCCGGAGGAAGGGGGCCGUACGCGUGUGGGUUCUCUCGAGCGAGGCCGCCGAGGCGGUCGUCCUCCCCGGCGUGCGGACGUCGGCGGAGUCGCGCGUGGGAGUCCCCGUCGACGGGGCUGGUGGACGCGGGUGUUCUCUCCUCGCGGGAGGAGGUGACUCCUCCCGUGGGGGGUGCUCUUCGGACUCCGCCGGCUCCGGCUUCCGGGCGUCGCGGGCGAUGGCGGGACCGCCCCCGUGGGGGGGCGGUGGGAUCCCGCCUGGUUUCCCCGGCGGCCCCGGGCCGUGCGCUCCGCGGGUCUCUCCCCGUCCGCUUC
rnacentral:lncRNA from 1 species